GAAAAAGUUUAGCUGAGAGUUGACACUGAGCUCAGAAAUGCUUACGCUCACUCCAGGUCCAGGUUUCAGAGUCACCGAUAAAUGGCAGGGGAUGAGGUCAUUCACAGCUCAUUCAGAUCAAGGCAGUCACUGUUGAGCCAUCUGCACCCAACCAGGAGGGUGGCCCCGGUGGGGGAAACACUUCAGCUCUUGGGGUGGGAAACAAGACCAGACAAGUGUUCACCUACUAAAAUGUAUCAUGAAAAAGUCGACUGAACAAAAGGUAAACUUUUUAAUGUCGUGUCAGCCUCAACUUUGGCUUACAUCGCUAAGAUGAUCAAAACAACUACUCGUUCCAAAUUCCCACGACAGGGGGGGGAAGCACACGUGAGAAAAGAGCCACAACUUAGAAAAAUAAGCGAAAAGGCGAUGUGUUGACAGCUUCAAGGUCAAUUAAAACAAUAUUAAUAUAUCUACUGCAAAAAUACAUGUCUGAAAAUAGAGUGAGGUCUACUCAGAAGGCUCGGCUAGCACAAGGAGCUGGCUAGCGGGACAGGCAGCACUCAACUCCUGUCUGCGGCCGC
rnacentral:lncRNA from 1 species